ensembl:lncRNA
GUGGGACUCCUCGAGUCUCUCUGAGGAAACUGGGCCUGGACUGAAGAGCUGGCCGGCUGCUAGCACGAGGCCACUAACAACAGCAGUAAUAAUAACCGUCAUCGCCAGCCUUUCCAGCGAGAGCCGCGAGCGCGGGCGCACCACGCUUGAUUAAAUCACAUAAUUAGGAGCCGCUUUAAUGAAUAUUAUUACAUUUCAGGCGGGUUCAAGAAUGGCCUUUUAUUUUCUCUGGGCAGGCAGCAUAAAUAUCAUGAAGUGUUUGAGAUUAUUAAUAGAAACAUGAAUGGUCUACUUGGGGUUCGCGCCGCGCGGCAGUGAGGCCAUCGGCAUCGCUCACAAAUCAGUGCAACGGAGCUGCCCGCGCGCCGGGCCUGCCCGCCCCAGGGCUCCAGGGGACCCCACUCUUCGUCCCGCCGGCGGCUUCCCUUCCCCACCACCCCUGUCCGCUCCCUAUUCGGAGGCCUGGGGAGGGCCUAGCUCUCCGCCGAAUGGGGCCGCGACGCCUGGAAGAAGGAUCCCCGCCCGGAGGCCCGGCGCCGGGCUGUAGUGGCGCGUCGGGAAGGGGGGACCCGUCUCCCUGGAGGCCGAUUUCUGCCUCGCCCGGCGAAUCCCCGCUUUCGGAAUUGCACCUUGGCCCUUUGUCGUCAGUCGCUAUUAACCUCCCAGCGCGCGGCGGCUCCGCCUGGCAGGCUGCAGUUUUCGGCGGAGCCGGGACCCUCCCGGGGGCGCUUGGGUAGCCGCCGAGGCGAGCGGAGACCGCAGAGGGCGGAUAUUAAACCAGCGGGAGACAGAAUGACUUCUAGCAGAGCCCCAGCGAACAAACGCUGCCUCCCGGCCGGCCCCGCGGCGGCGGGCGUAUUUGCAUAUAGAGUGUCUGGGCGUGUGUUGCGCGCACUGGACGCCCGGGCACACCUGUGUCCAGCGGCGUAGGAGCCCCCAUCGAUUUGACGUUUUCACUCUAGGAAAACAGAAACGCUGGCGCUCUCUUGGUGGUCAGGCUGGGGUCACCCGCAGGGCUGUUUCCCUCUCUCCUUAGGAGAAAGGCAGGGCGGGUCCGCAUUGCGGCCGUCGACGGGUGUGGACCCUGGGAUUCUGACUCCAGCCCCCACUCAUCCAGCCCCGUUGGCAGAGCUGGGUGCAGCGGAGAAGGAAGGCUCUGAGCGCCAAGGAGCCCCGCCAGGCCCUCUCUGUCCCGCACUCUCUCGGGGGCGCCUGCUUGGGCAGGCCUGCGGGGCGGUGGGUCCUCUGAGGCCAGGACUCCCAGGCCCUCUCGGAGUCUCUGCCCUGCUAUGGAGCAGUGUGGAGUGAGCUCCGCCUGGGCCCGGCGGGGACACAGCUAGGCCUCGGGCGUGGGGGUCGUUCAGUUCGAAGGAGCAAGGUCUUUCUUUAUAAAUGAACUUUCCUCUUCUGCACACUUAGGGAACCCUCCUCCUGUGGGGCAACAGUCUGGCCGGAGGCCCAGUCGUGGGGCGGUGUCUGCAGUCGGGGUCCAGAUCCACGGCACGCAGAGUCCGGGAGGCCCGGGGCAACCAGCUGGCAAAGGACUUGGGAAGGCAUACCUUUUUCCCCGCAGGCCUGACUCCGGUCUCCGUGGCCAAAGCAGGCAGGUGGCACAGCCGCGGCUCUCCGUGAGGGAGCAGUUUAGAUUAUAUGCUGUUGGAUUAAAAUGUAAUAAACAUAGGAGUAAAAAAAAAACAAAAACAAAAA